GGCAGUGGCUGGGCAGGCAAAGUGAAGUGCAAAAUACAGGUGGCUUAAAUCUCUGAGCUCCAAUUUCCCCUUAUCUGUGAAAUGGAAGGAACCCACAUAGAUUGACUUCUCAGUUUGUGGCGAGGAUUACAUGAGCUACUAUGCUUAUAAGUGCAGUUCCUGUUCUCCUGGCUGGACCCUGACUGAUGCCAUGGGGAAAGCCCUCGGGCUCGUGGAACUUAAAUUCCAGACCAGUGGCCCUUUGUGGCUACACAUUCUCUAACCGAGGCACAACUGACCAGGCUCCAGGUGAAGCUUCUCAGCCUGGUAAGCAGAGAAGAUGAAGCCCUUGGGGCAGCCCAGCACCCACCCUUGACAAUACUCCUGCUUCAUCACAGGUCCUGUUGUGCCCAACUCAUGAUUUAUCCAGGUCACACCAGUCUGGUCUGACACAGUAAGAGGUGGGUGAGCCUUGAAAGAAAACAAGGCUCCCUGGGGGUUUCUGUAGAUGUUGCUGUGAAUUCAUAAGUCCCAAAAUUUGCAUUAUUCUCCUUUCUUCUUCCCCAACAUGUCGUCCAUCACCAAAUCCUUCUGCCUUUCCAAACAUUUGCUGACUCUGGCCCCUUUUCUUCAGGGCCACCAGGAAACACACCUUCAGGAAGCACCUUUUCUGUUCUAUCCCAAAGGGCACCAUCACAUACACUAUAAUAUGAAUCAUGACCCCCAGAGUUGUGUGGAGUUUCUGCAUCUCUCCCUCCCCACUGUGGCUACCCUCAUCCAGCAACCAUCCUGUCUCUCACUGGUAUUACCGCAGCUGAGACCCAGGUCUUAAGGAAGCUGAGACCCAGGCCAGCAGGGGCCUCACAGCUUCGAAAAAGAGGAGGGUAUAAGACUCUGGAUGAAGCUGAGAGAUCCUUCCAUGCUUGGCAACCUGAGAGACUACACAGACAUGAGCUUCAGGAGACUCCAAAGCCUCGGAUCCCCUUCUAAACUAGCACUGAAUUCUGAUUGGCUGUCUUUGCCUGCCUCAGUUUGUUCCUUUUACUGAUUGGCUAGGUUCUUCUGCCCAUGGCAGAGCCCUGCUCCAGCCACCAGAUCCUCCCACCUACCACAGUGUCACCUGGGAUUGGCUGGGCUCUGAAAGGCCAGGCUGGCUUGGCUCUUGCCAUCAUCAGAUUCUUCCUCAUUAAACAAAUGAAUCACAAUCCUAAUUAAUUUGAGCAACAGAAUUUAUAUAACUACUCCCAGCAGGAUGUCUGCUCUCAGUCAGCAGAGAGAUUAAUUCCUCUCUCUGGGAAAUUCCAGCCUUGCUGGCCAAUAAACCUUAAUGAUGACUGAAAUCUCCCAUCUGUCUCUGCUCAGGGCAGGUAACCCCUACUAAGCAGACACCCAGUUGGCUCAAGGCAGUACCCCGGGCACCGGCAGGACAAGGACAACGAUCUCCCAGCCUAGAUGUGUCCUGAGCCACAUGGAGCACACAGAUUACAGGAUCUGACUCCCAUUUGGGCCUUCCACCUCCGCUGGCCUAAGCAGUCAAGUGUCAGAGAGCACUGGACCUAACAGCUCCCUCACCAGAGCAGCUGUGAUUCCUUCUUCAUUUCCAGCAGGGAAGACCCAACAACUUCUAUAAUAUGGGAUUUCUUUUAUUCUCAUGAUAAUAAUGUUCAUUGUGGAAAAAAAAAAAUGAUAAAAUAAAAA